AAAUAGAACAUGAACUUAGAUGUGAA
rnacentral:piRNA from 1 species